rnacentral:misc_RNA from 1 species
ACAACGAGCACGUCGAGGGGAAGGUUGCGAUCACGAUAUCCCUUUGCGAUGUCGAGUGCCUGCUGCUGCGUGGGAUAGAUGGCUUUGCUCUGGAUAUAGCCGUAAGUAGCCUUGGGCAAAAGCGGGGUGCUGCCGGUGAGUGUGCGAUAGCCCUGGUAAAUGUCGUCUACCUUUUCACCC